GGUUGAUCCUGCCAGUAGUCAUAUGCUUGUCUUAAAGAUUAAGCCCGUCAAGUCUAAGUUUAGUAAUCAAACAGCGAAACUGCGAACGGCUCAUUAAAUCAGUUAUAGUUUAUUUGAUAGUCAAAUCUACAUGGAUAACUGUGGAAAACUAGAGCUAAUACAUGCUGUCAAACCUAACUUCUGGAAAGGUUGUAUUUAUUAGAUUUCAAACCAUCAUUGGUGAUGAUUCAUAGUAACUGAUCGAAUCGCAGCCUCGCUGUGAUAAAUCAUUCAAGUUUCUGCCCUAUCAGCUU
rnacentral:rRNA from 1 species